AAUCUACCCUUCCGUCCGGGAUAACUAGCCGAAAGGUUAGCUAAUACCAGAUACGCUCAUCGAACGGCAUCGUUUGAUGAUGAAAGCAGCAAUGCGCGGAUUGAGGAGCCUGCGGCCCAUUAGCUAGUUGGUGAGGGUAAUGGCCCACCAAGGCAACGAUGGGUAGCUGGUCUGAGAGGACGACCAGCCACACUGGGACUGAGACACGGCCCAG
rnacentral:rRNA from 1 species